GUUGAGUAAUGUCUGGGAAACUGCCUGAUGGAGGGGGAUAACUACUGGAAACGGUAGCUAAUACCGCAUAACGUCGCAAGACCAAAGAGGGGGACCUUCGGGCCUCUUGCCAUCAGAUGUGCCCAGAUGGGAUUAGCUUGUUGGUUGGGGUAACGGCUCACCAAGGCGACGAUCCCUAGCUGGUCUGAGAGGAUGACCAGCCACACUGGAACUGAGACACUGUCCAG
rnacentral:rRNA from 1 species